UAUCCUUCACCUCACAUAAAUAUUCCUUUCCAAUUUACACACACUCAUCUCUCUCUUUUGGCUAAUACUCUUAGCCCUCACAUUAUAUACAUAAAAAAAAAGAAGAAGAAGAAAAACGAAAAUCUUCCUAUCCAAUUCUUCUAUGAUUUUCAAGUGGGAGACAAUGGGAAGUAUGAGAAAACUUCGGCUAUUCGAGUAAACGAAGCGAGAAGCUUAUCGGCAAUAGCAAAAAGAGGGAAGGAUUUUACUAUGACUUGAACAUUAAGGGGGUUAAGGGCUUAUGCUCAUAAGCCUAUCAGGUAAUAUAAUUAGUAUUUAAUAGCUUAAUUCUCUUGUGUGGUGCUAUGUGCUGCUACGUGUUAAUCGCGAACUUAUGAUUUCCGUUCGAUUAUUAUGCAUUUGCGAUGUAUUAGUAUACAUGGACAUGAGGUAUAAAAUAUGGAAAUAUUGGAUGAGAUUUGGUAAUGAAUGAAUGAAGAAUGAACUGGGAAUGGGACGAAUCUACGUGUCAACAUGAUUAUUAAUGUGAUGCCACGUGCUUGGUUGAUGUCGUUGGGAAUAAUUGGAAUGAACGUGAUUGAUUCGAUCGGGCCACGCGCGGUAGCAAUGAUAUGUUGAUAUGUUUUGUGCACCAUAUUCACUCAUGGGACUAUAAGGCCAGACAGUUUAUGAUAAUUGAUGAUUUGUCCCCUGAGUUAUACGACCAGGCGGUAUAAGUUGUGGGUGCACCAUGUUCACUCAUGGGGCUAUACGGCCAGGCGGUUCAUAAUAAUAUAUGAUGAUGAAUUGCCCCAUGAGCUAUAAGGCCAGACGGUACCUAUAUGAAUGCACUGUGUUAUUCGAUCGGUCCAGACGCGGUGGAAAUAUUUUUGUUUUCGAUCAGGCCUCACGCGGGGACAUAUUAUUGACUGUGUUCUCAGGGUGUCGCCAAGCACGUGGGUGAUGGCUUAAUGAUAUGAUGUGUGUGCCGAGGUAGAAUUUGAUUAUAUGUGGUUGAUUGAUGAUGAUUUAAAUUUGCAAAUUAUCUGUGCAUCCAAGUGAUUAAACCAAGCAUGUCGAUGGGACUAUGAACGCGAUAUAUGAAAUCAAGGUGCUAUGGUUAUGUGAUGUGAUUUGUAAUGAUAAUAUGCCUAUUGAUGCUGAUUAACUUGACAUUUGAACUUGUGGUUGCAUGAUUAAUUUAGAUAUUCUAUUUUUAUGUUGCG